rnacentral:rRNA from 1 species
CCAGACUCCUACGGGAGGCAGCAGUGAGGAAUAUUGGUCAAUGGCCGAGAGGCUGAACCAGCCAAGUCGCGUGAGGGAAGACGGCCCUACGGGUUGUAAACCUCUUUUGUCGGGGAGCAAAGCGAGUCGCGUGUGACUCAUUGAGAGUACCCGAAGAAAAAGCAUCGGCUAACUCCGUGCCAGCAGCCGCGGUAAUACGGAGGAUGCGAGCGUUAUCCGGAUUUAUUGGGUUUAAAGGGUGCGUAGGCGGGCUUUUAAGUCAGCGGUAAAAGCCCGGGGCCCACCCCCGGCGAGCCGUUGAAACUGGGGAUCUAGAGUGUGCGAGAGGUAUGCGGAAUGCGUGGUGUAGCGGUGAAAUGCAUAGAUAUCACGCAGAACCCCGAUUGCGAAGGCAGCAUACCGGUGCACAACUGACGCUCAGGCACGAAAGCGUGGGUAUCGAACAGGAUUAGAUACCCCCGUAC